AGAGAGAGACAUGCGCGCAUAUCAAUAAGCGGAGGAAAAGAAACUAACAAGGAUUCCCUUAGUAACGGCGAGUGAAGCGGGAAGAGCUCAAAUUUGAAAUCUUCAAGGUUCUACCUUGACGAAUUGUAGUUUAUAGAAGUGUUUUCCUGUUAGUGGAGUGGCAAAAGUUCUUUGGAAUAGGACAUCAUAGAGGGUGAGAAUCCCGUAUUUGGUCAUUCCUCCUAGCGUUGUGAUACACUUUCAACGAGUCGGAUUGUUUGGGAAUGCAGUCCAAAAUGGGUGGUAAAUUUCAUCUAAAGCUAAAUAUUGGCGAGAGACCGAUAGCGAACAAGUACCGUGAGGGAAAGAUGAAAAGAACUUUGAAAAGAGAGUUAAACAGUACGUGAAAUUGUCAAAAGGGAAGCGUUUGACACCAGUGUUGUUUUUCUCGAAAAUCAAUUACAAAGUGUUUGGAUUUUGAUGAGUUAAUGACUUCAUCAGCUUGCUCCUUUCUUUACUGAACUUUCUUAAUGCACUUUUCGGUUAACAAGUCAACAUCAAUUUCUUUUGUUGUAAAAGGGUAUGAGGAAGGUGGCUUUCACUUUCGGAUGAAAGUGUUUAUAGCCUUGUGCCUCUGCAAUCGGAGAGAUUGAGGUCUGCAGCGUAGAUCCUUCGGGGUUAGAUACGUUAGAUGCUAAGUUAUAGCUUUUUCAUAGACGACUUGUUGACUAUAAUUUAAGUCAUUGUAGCUUACUCGCUUGACGCUAUUUUACCUACGCUUAGGAUGUUGAUAGUCACAGCGUGUAC
rnacentral:rRNA from 1 species